GACGAACGCUGGCGGCGUGCUUAACACAUGCAAGUCGAACGGUGAACCUCUUCGGAGGGGAUCAGUGGCGAACGGGUGAGUAACACGUGGGCAACCUGCCCCCGGCUCUGGGAUAACUCCAAGAAAUUGGGGCUAAUACCGGAUGUUCACCGCUUCCCGCAUGGGUGGUGGUGCAAAGGGUUUCCGGCUGGGGAUGGGCCCGCGGCCUAUCAGCUUGUUGGUGGGGUAGUGGCCUACCAAGGCGACGACGGGUAGCCGGCCUGAGAGGGUGACCGGCCACACUGGGACUGAGACACGGCCCAGACUCCUACGGGGGGCAGCAGUGGGGAAUAUUGCGCAAUGGGCGGAAGCCUGACGCAGCGACGCCGCGUGGGGGAUGACGGCCUUCGGGUUGUAAACCUCUUUCAGCAGGGACGAAGCGCAAGUGACGGUACCUGCAGAAGAAGCACCGGCCAACUACGUG
rnacentral:rRNA from 1 species